rnacentral:ncRNA from 2 species
ACGUCCCUGCCCUUUGUACACA